rfam:Stegodyphus mimosarum contig64313, whole genome shotgun sequence.
GCCUUCGUGGUGUAAUGGUCAGCACACUGAGCCGGUAUUUCAGAGGUCCGCGGUUCGAUCCCCGGAGAAGGCA